rnacentral:rRNA from 1 species
GAUGAACGCUGGCGGCGUGCCUAAUACAUGCAAGUCGAGCGAACGGAUGAGAAGCUUGCUUCUCUGAUGUUAGCGGCGGACGGGUGAGUAACACGUGGAUAACCUACCUAUAAGACUGGGAUAACUUCGGGAAACCGGAGCUAAUACCGGAUAAUAUUUUGAACCGCAUGGUUCAAAAGUGAAAGACGGUCUUGCUGUCACUUAUAGAUGGAUCCGCGCUGCAUUAGCUAGUUGGUAAGGUAACGGCUUACCAAGGCAACGAUGCAUAGCCGACCUGAGAGGGUGAUCGGCCACACUGGAACUGAGACACGGUCCAGACUCCUACGGGAGGCAGCAGUAGGGAAUCUUCCGCAAUGGGCGAAAGCCUGACGGAGCAACGCCGCGUGAGUGAUGAAGGUCUUCGGAUCGUAAAACUCGGUUAUUAGGGAAGAACAUAUGUGUAAGUAACUGUGCACAUCUUGACGGUACCUAAUCAGAAAGCCACGGCUAACUACGUG